rnacentral:lncRNA from 1 species
CUUGAACGAGAAUUCUUAAGAGUGACUCCUUGGCAGAACCAAUGAUGUCCAUCAAUGCCAUCAAUGCUUCUCCGGUAGAAGCCAUUACCAUCGGUAACUUGUUCAACUCAAGGACAGCGGUUUCCAUCUUGUGAUUGAUCUUGCGAACAAUUUCAGGCAAACAGCGGGAAAUCAUCGUUGCUUGGAUAAACAUUAGCUUCUGAGCUAAAACAGGGACUCCCACAAUGUCAUCAUCGAUCAAGCUUAGCAUUGGAUGAGUCCUGAAAAGUAACUCUUCUUGAAUUCUUGCUUCUUCAUAUGACUCUUCGCCUAUGCGGUUUCUGACACAGACGUAACCUAGACCUAUACUCACAUCAUCUGCUGUUACUUUCUGCAGGAGUCCUUCAGGAGCCAUGUCUGCCUUUGUGACAACAGCCAAAGUCCGUUCCCCUGUUUUGUCAACUUGUCUUGACAU